GUUCUCUCAGAAUUGCAUCUGGAGAGUUUCCAGUACUCUACCGGUCUCGACCAUGGGAGGGAGAGUCAAGCAGAGGCAUAUCCAUUCCAUUUCUAGCUUGGUCAGUGGCUAGUGGAAGUCAAUCUGCUACCAAC